ensembl:lncRNA
GCUUCCCCUGGAGGGCUGGCCCUGCCCGGCAAUGUGCCAGGUUGACCCUCAGGGGACUCACCUGACUUCAGCGAUACCACGUGCUGCCACCAUCUCCACCAUUGCCGGCGCCGGUCAGAACCCUACGGGCACAUGAACGUGGCACAGUGACAGGGCUUGUGGGGCAGCCCUAACCCCCCACCCCCAAGCCCUGAGUCACCUAGCCUCAAGUGACUCCCAUCCUCAAAUUUCCUUACCUGUCGGCGCCAGAAAGCGGUGAGCAGAGACACCCCAGCCACCAAGAGCAGGAGGCUGGGGACAAGGAGAACGCUGUCGACAACCAUCGCUCAAAGCUGGCCACGACCGCACUGGGAGAGACAAAGUGCUGGCCGCUGUCUUACAUGGGCAGAGCCAUGAGGUCAUAGUCCGGCAGGUGGGGAUCGCUCUGUGAGGUCACAGCCCCACAGCCCACAUGGAAGUAGGCUGGCAGUAGCCCCCAGCAUGGGGAUGGAAGGUGUUAUGCACAUAACUUGAGUAGAAUCAAAAAAUACAUCACAUUGGAGUUUUGACAACAAGUGAACACAUGUACCAGUUUGGGGACCAUCCCCGAGAUGUGCUGCUGCCAUCCUUACUUGCAUUAAGUAACUCCGCCUUCUCUGUAUCCUCUGUUACCAGGGCACCCACCUCAUUCAUUAACAGGCCUGCAUUGCCUCUAGUGUUAGUUUUGUUUGCAGCAUAUUUGAAAAAGCCCCUUCUGUUGUCCUUGACCUCUUUUGCCAGGUUAAACUCUAUGAAGGCCUUAGCUUUCCUAGUUCAUAGAAUCAUAGAAUCACCAACAUUGGAAAAGACCCACAGGAUCACCUAGUCCAACCAUCCCCCCAUCACCAAUAGUUCUCACUCAACCAUGACCCUCAAUAGAACGUCCAAAUGCUCCUUGAACACCUCCAGUUUCGAUGACUCCACCACCUCCCUGGGCAACCCAUUCCAGUGCCUGACCACUCUUUCAGAGAAGUAGUAUUUCCUAAUGUCCAGU